GGUAAUACGGAGGGUGCAAGCGUUAAUCGGAAUUACUGGGCGUAAAGCGCACGCACGGAGUCUGUCAAGUCGGAUGUGAAAUCCCCGGGCUCAACCUGGGAACUGCAUUCGAAACUGGCAGGCUAGAGUCUUGUAGAGGGGGGUAGAAUUCCAGGUGUAGCGGUGAAAUGCGUAGAGAUCUGGAGGAAUACCGGUGGCGAAGGCGGCCCCCUGGACAAGGACUGACGCUCAGGUGCGAAAGCGUGAGGAGCAAACAGGAUUAGAUACCCUGGUAGUCCACGCCGUAAACGAUGUCGACUUGGAGGUUGUGCCCUUGAGGCGUGGCUUCCGGAGCUAACGCGUUAAGUCGACCGCCUGGGGAGUACGGCCGCAAGGUUAAAACUCAAAUGAAUUGACGGGGGCCCGCACAAGCGGUGGAGCAUGUGGUUUAAUUCGAUGCAACGCGAAGAACCUUACCUACUCUUGACAUCCAGAGAACUUUCCAGAGAUGGAUUGGUGCCUUCGGGAACUCUGAGACAGGUGCUGCAUGGCUGUCGUCAGCUCGUGUUGUGAAAUGUUGGGUUAAGUCCCGCAACGAGCGCAACCCUUAUCCUUUGUUGCCAGCGGUCCGGC
rnacentral:rRNA from 1 species